rnacentral:rRNA from 1 species
UACAGAGGUCUCAAGCGUUGUUCGGAUUUAUUGGGCGUAAAGGGCGCGUAGGCGGCGGGGUAAGUCGGGUGUGAAAUCUCAGGGCUCAACCCUGAAACUGCACUUGAUACUGCUCUGCUUGAGGUCUGGAGAGGAGACUGGAAUUUACGGUGUAGCGGUGAAAUGCGUAGAUAUCGUAAGGAAGACCAGUGGCGAAGGCGGGUCUCUGGACAGUUCCUGACGCUGAGGCACGAAGGCCAGGGGAGCAAACGGG